GACGAACGCUGGCGGCGUGCCUAAUACAUGCAAGUAGAACGCUGAAGGAGGAGCUUGCUUCUCUGGAUGAGUUGCGAACGGGUGAGUAACGCGUAGGUAACCUGCCUGGUAGCGGGGGAUAACUAUUGGAAACGAUAGCUAAUACCGCAUAAGAGUAGAUGUUGCAUGACAUUUACUUAAAAGGUGCAAUUGCAUCACUACCAGAUGGACCUGCGUUGUAUUAGCUAGUUGGUGAGGUAACGGCUCACCAAGGCAACGAUACAUAGCCGACCUGAGAGGGUGAUCGGCCACACUGGGACUGAGACACGGCCCAGACUCCUACGGGAGGCAGCAGUAGGGAAUCUUCGGCAAUGGACGGAAGUCUGACCGAGCAACGCCGCGUGAGUGAAGAAGGUUUCGGAUCGUAAAGCUCUGUUGUAAGAGAAGAACGAGUGUGAGAGUGGAAAGUUCACACUGUGACGGUAUCUUACCAGAAAGGGACGGCUAACUACGUG
rnacentral:rRNA from 1 species